rnacentral:rRNA from 1 species
ACUCCUACGGGAGGCAGCAGUGGGGAAUAUUGCACAAUGGGCGCAAGCCUGAUGCAGCAACGCCGUGUGAGUGAAGAAGGUUUUCGGAUCGUAAAACUCUGUCCUAAGGGAAGAAACAAAUGACGGUACCUUAGGAGGAAGCCCCGGCUAACUACGUGCCAGCAGCCGCGGUAAUACGUAGGGGGCAAGCGUUAUCCGGAAUCACUGGGCGUAAAGGGUGCGUAGGCGGCUUAGCAAGCCAGGGGUGAAAGGCAUUGGCUCAACCAAUGUAAGCCUUUGGAACUGUUAAGCUUGAGUGCAGGAGAGGUAAGU